rnacentral:rRNA from 1 species
GAUGAACGCUGGCGGCGUGCCUAAUACAUGCAAGUCGAGCGAAUGAAUUAAGAGCUUGCUCUUAUGAAGUUAGCGGCGGACGGGUGAGUAACACGUGGGUAACCUGCCCAUAAGACUGGGAUAACUCCGGGAAACCGGGGCUAAUACCGGAUAACAUUUUGAACUGCAUGGUUCGAAAUUGAAAGGCGGCUUCGGCUGUCACUUAUGGAUGGACCCGCGUCGCAUUAGCUAGUUGGUGAGGUAACGGCUCACCAAGGCAACGAUGCGUAGCCGACCGGGGAGGGUGAUCGGCCACACUGGGACUGAGACACGGCCCAGACUCCUACGGGAGGCAGCAGUAGGGAAUCUUCCGCAAUGGACGAAAGUCUGACGGAGCAACGCCGCGUGAGUGAUGAAGGCUUUCGGGUCGUAAAACUCUGUUGUUAGGGAAGAACAAGUGCUAGUUGAAUAAGCUGGCACCUUGACGGUACCUAACCAGAAAGCCACGGCUAACUACGUGCCAGCCGCCGCCGUAAUAC